rnacentral:rRNA from 1 species
UGAACGUUGGCGGCAUGGAUUAGGCAUGCAAGUCGAGAGAAGAGUUUUGAAGCUUGCUUUGAAACUCGGAAAGCGCGAAAAGGGAGAGUAACGAGUAGGUUAUCUACCCCCAGGCCCGGGAUAGCUGCGGGAAACUGCAGGUAAUGCCGGAUAAUAUCCCCGGAUCAAAGGUGUGAUUCCCGCCUUGGGAGGAGACUGCUUUGUACUAGCUUGUUGGUAGGGUAAUGGCCUACCAAGGCUACGAUGCAUAGCGGGCGUGAGAGCGUGGCCCGUCUCACUGGGACUGAAACACUGCCCAGACACCUACGGGUGGCUGCAGUCGAGAAUCUUCGGCAAUGGGCGAAAGCCUGACCGAGCAAUGCCGCGUGCGGGAUGAAGGCCUUCGGGUUGUAAACCGCUGUCGUAGAGGAGAAAGGUCUGAUGAAGAAUCAGAUUUGAUCUAUUCUAGGAGGAAGUCGGGGCUAAGUUCGUGCCAGCAGCCGCGGUAAUACGAACCCGACAAACGUUAUUCGGAAUUAUUGGGCUUAAAGGGUGCGUAGGCGGUGCGGUAAGUGCGGUGUGAAAUCCCUCGGCUCAACCGAGGAAUUGCGCUGCAUACUCCCGUGCUGGAGGGAGACAGAGGUAAGCGGAACUGAUGGUGGAGCGGUGAAAUGCGUUGAUAUCAUCAGGAACACCGGUGGCGAAAGCGGCUUACUGGGUCUCUUCUGACGCUGAGGCACGAAAGCUAGGGUAGCGAACGGGAUUAGAUACCCCGGUAGUCCUAGCCGUAAACGAUGAGCACUUGAUUGAGGGCCCCCCCAUAGGCUCUCGAUCGCAGCGAAAGUGUUAAGUGCUCCGCCUGGGGAGUAUGGUCGCAAGGCUGAAACUCAAAGGAAUUGACGGGGGCUCACACAAGCGGUGGAGGAUGUGGCUUAAUUCGAGGCUACGCGAAGAACCUUAUCCAGGCCUUGACAUGUACGGAUGCUGCCCGUGAAAGCGGGUUAGUUGCCUUCGGGUGAAACGUGCACAGGUGCUGCAUGGCUGUCGUCAGCUCGUGUCGUGAGAUGUCGGGUUAAGUCCCUUAACGAGCGAAACCCUUGUCUUUAGUUGCCAGCGAGUCAUGUCGGGGACUCUAAAGAGACUGCCGGUGUUAAACCGGAGGAAGGUGGGGAUGACGUCAAGUCCUCAUGGCCUUUAUGGCCUGGGCUGCACACGUCCUACAAUGGCAUAUACAAAGGGAUGCUACUCGCGAGAGCAAGCAAAUCCCAAAAAGUAUGCCCCAGUUCGGAUUGCAGGCUGCAACUCGCCUGCAUGAAGCCGGAAUCGCUAGUAAUCGUGGAUCAGCAUGCCACGGUGAAUAUGUUCCUGAGCCUUGUACACACCGCCCGUCAAGCCACGAAAGUGGGGGGGGCUUAAAGUCGCCGAGCUAACCGUAAGGAGGCAGGCGCCUAGAGUCAACUCCGUGAUUGGGACUAAGUCGUAACAAGGUAGCCGUAGGGGAACCUGCGGCUGGAUCACCUCC